rnacentral:rRNA from 1 species
GACGAACGCUGGCGGCGUGCUUAACACAUGCCAGUCGAACGGAAAGGCCCUGCUCUUGUUGGGUGCUCGAGUGGCGAACGGGUGAGUAACACGCGAGUAACCCGCCCCUGACUUUGGGAUAACUUUUGGAAACUGGGGCUAAUACCGGAUAGGAGCUCCUGCUCCACGGGGGGGGUUGGAAAGUUUCGGCGGUUGGGGAUGGACUAGCGGCUUAUCCGCUUGUUGGUGGGGUAGUGGCUUACCAAGGCUUUGACGGGUAGCCGGCCUGAGAGGGUGACCGGCCACAUUGGGACUGAGAUACGGCCCAGACUCCUACGGGAGGCAGCAGUGGGGAAUAUUGCACAAUGGGCGGAAGCCUGAUGCAGCAACGCCGCGUGCGGGACGACGGCCUUCGGGUUGUAAACCGCUUUCGCCUGUGACGAAGCGUGAGUGACGGUAAUGGGUAAAGAAGCACCGGCUAACUACGUG